GAAGCAACACAAGCGCCAGAACUGCGAAGGAAUUGUGCGGACGCGGACGGUGUGACGACGAUGGUGUCGGACGCAGCAGCCGGGUUUCAUGGGUACGGAGCAGUUGACGAGGUGGAGGGGUUCGAAGUUUUCGGCGGGGGCCUCCCGGCUUACGCAUCCGAGCCGAAAGUUGGAAACAAAACGUUACGGGCAACCGGGCGGACAAAGUUCCAAUGAGGAUGCUGA
rnacentral:ncRNA from 1 species